CUUAGCAGGUACAUAAUGGGCUCUCUGACAAAGUGUAUAUUUAUAUAUGCUUUGUGCACAUCGGGGAAUUUGCGAAAAUUUUAUCGGUGAGUAGACAACAUCGGAAUGGCAAAGAUAUUUAUUGAAUAGUCGGACAUAAUAUGAGAAGGUAGUAUGUCUAAAGGGAAACAGCCCAGAACAAGAGUUAAUAAGGUUCCAAAAUUAUUAUUAAGUGAAAAAAAGGAAGUUGUUAUUUCAUACGGCCAGUUAAUAGGCUUAGAAGCGGCCAAUUUUUGAUGAUCUCGUAAUAGAGCACUGGUUAAUUAAAUUGCAUAAUUUAAUAGAAAAACAUAUAACGGCGCCGAAAAUUUAACGGAUCUAAAUAAUAUACCGAAACCUUGUCCAUAUUUAUUGAUAGUGACAGAGUCAGACAUGUUUACUGGCUUUCCAGGUUAUUAGAUUAAUUUAUAGUCUAAAAAUCCCAAAUAAAGCUGAAGAAUUGAUAGAUGGAAUAUUAAUAAGUAUGGGGUAGCGGAACGUAGGGUAAAUCUAAGAUUAUUUCUAUUUUAGAAAAAAAAUAAGAUAACCCUAGUGAGAAUGCUGACAUGAGUAACGAAAAAGGAAUUUAUAGUGUAAUUUAUUUUACACUAUUGAAUCCUCGCCUUAAGCUUAUGACUAAACUAAAAGUUACGGCCUCUAAGUAAAAAAUCCCAAAGGAUUUAACGAUGAGAAAAUACUAUUUUAUAUAUAAGACCUUUUUAACUACUUGGUGUAACUUAAAGUAAGUAAAGUGAAAAGCCGAAUAGGAUGAUACUAAGCUUACUUUAAGUGUAAUCUUACACAAAAAGAGGUUUAAAGUAAGAAGAGUUCAGGAAAUAUAUAUAUAAUAAAUUAAAAUACCGUUUCUAGAAACUUUGAAGGUAAGCUAGUGUAGUAUACGAAGGCGCAANAGUCAACAU
rnacentral:rRNA from 1 species